AAUUAACUUUAUUGUAUAUACCGGUAAUCUAAAUGGAGACAUGUAUUUUCAUGGGCUUUCCCCUCCUCAAUUCCUUGACAGUGAAGAAGAAAACAUGUUCUGUAUAUUAAUUUUCAAAUUAUAUCUCUUCUUUUAUAUACUUUCAGAAGACACAUCAAUGCCAAAAGGGAGGCUAUUGAAGUGAAGAAGAAGUACUUCAAUUUGAAACAAAGAGCUAAAAGCAAGAUCGACGGCCUCAAAAGGUCAAUGGCCACAACUUGAGAAGGGCCUCCACUCCCAGCACUGUCCAACGCGGACGAGGUCCUUUGUCAGUCUUUGGAGGGGAGGCCAGGUAUUCAUGGCCUAGAACAUGGCAUUGACACUGAUGUCAUUCAUGAUGGCGAUGUAGCUGCCGCUGCACCAGAAGGUCUGCAAGGUGAAGCACAUCACAUUGAUGAGCAAGACAACCCAGCAGAAGGUACAUCAGAAGGAUCUGAGUAAUACCUGUAG